AUACGGAGGGUGCGAGCGUUACUCGGAGUCACUGGGCGUAAAGCGUCCGUAGGCGGUCGGGUAAGUCGGGUGUGAAAGCCCCGGGCUCAACCUGGGAAGUGCACCCGAUACUGCUCGACUCGAGUGCGGGAGAGGAUGGCGGAAUUCCCGGUGUAGCGGUGAAAUGCGUAGAGAUCGGGAGGAACACCAGUGGCGAAGGCGGCCAUCUGGCCCGCAACUGACGCUGAGGGACGAAAGCGUGGGGAGCAAACAGGAGUAGAUACCCCGGUAGUCC
rnacentral:rRNA from 1 species